GCUGCGCGGGGGGCGCUGGGAGCCGCGGCCACGCAUGCGCCGCCCGCGACCGCGCGCCGCGGGGUCCCGGGAGGCCUCCUCGCAGGCGAGGGGCUUCCGUGCGGCGGACUCUCGCGAGAGCGCGCGGCGCGGCGCGGCCACUCGCCGCCGGGGGACUUGAGGAGCGAGGAGGGGGCGGAGGGACACAGCCGGGGCCGAGCGGACAUUUUGCGGGAGAAGAUGGAACGGCGUGGAAAAGGAGAGUGGGAGGCUUCCCUCGGCCGCGGAGUCUGGGAGGCGGGGAGACGUCUCCGAGUUCUCCUAUGUCACAGCAAGACAGUCAGCAGACCCAGUGCCACCAGCCAGUCUUGCUCCAUCUUUUGAAAUGGAUACUGGAUGAGCAUGAAGUGCUCCAGGGGCCAUUAAUUCGUGAUCCUCUGUCCUUGGCAUGGAGCACCAUCUGAUAUCAGCUUCAGGAUCAAGUUCCUAGUUCCUGAGGAUGGAGGCUGGAGCCUCAGGUAGGGUUAGAACCCCAACCCAUGUUGAACGAAACACCUGACCUUUGGAGGGUGCAAAUCCUCCCUUCUACUUCUCAGUC
rnacentral:lncRNA from 1 species